UCGCGCCACUGCGCUCUAGCCUGACAGAGUGAGACUCUUUAAAAAAAAAAAAGGUAAAGCAUUCAAAUCAUAGUAUUUGAAGAAGGAGUCUCUAUUGCCCUGACCUCGUGCAGGUAAGUUCACCCAUGUGCCCAGCCCCAGGCCGGGAUACAGCCCUGACUCAUUCACGGCCUCUGCCCUUGAGGGGCCAGUCUGCCAAGGAAAAACCGACGAGGACAAUGGAUGACAUUGCUGGCUAUGAUGGGGGCACAGAUGUAGGGCUGGAGGUUGGGAUUCUGGAAUAGCUUCUUGGAGGAGGUCUGAGUCUUAAGGAUGAGUAGGGCUUUGCUUGGGCACCUUGGAAAAGAGGUCACGCUGGGCGGGGGGAGUAGCAUGACACAGGCUUGGAGGGGAAGGACCCUGCAGUGCUUCAGAGACCUAGCAGGUUUGUCAAGCUGGGUUAGGAGGGGUGGCCACGAGGUGUGUCGGGGAGGAGGGUGGAGAGGUCCCCAGGGGUGGGACCUGCCCGAGUCCUUUGCUUUUACAAGCUUCAGAGCUAAGAAGAUGGAUCUCUCUUCGGCCUAUCAGCUCAUUUUGCAGAUGGGAAAACAGGUCCAGCAGGGCCCCUUACUUGCUCCAGGACACAUGGAGAGAUGGGGCAGGAGCUUGCUUCAGGUCCCCCUGCUGGCACACAGGUUCCACAUCGUGGAUUGCAGAUUGAAAAUACUCAGAUGCAGAGCCCGUGAUACAGAGGGCCGACUGUAUAAGUUCAGAAGAGGACCUGGCGUCUAAUAAAUGCACAACAAUAAUAGUAUCAAUACUUAUUAUCACUAUUGUGGGUCUUUGCUCUGAAGAUAAAGGGAGAAGUGAUGGUUUUAGGGAAUCGUUUGGGGAGUGGAGGGUGCUUCCCCAGAUAUCUAGGAAGUGGAGAAUGACAGGGCCUUGUGUCAUACCUGGAGGCCAACUCUGAGCCCCCCACUGGCUGCUCCUAAAGGGAGAUUUGAUAAGCUACCACCAGCCAGAAUAUCUCUGCUGCUGGGAUUCACUGGUACUGUUUGCCUUUGGGGCAAAGUUAGCUGCUAGCGCCCAGUCACAGCACUUCCUGUGCUGCAGGUGACAACCUCCUCCAGCGCCAUCUGAGCCGUCCGAGUCUAGGUUCUCUAGGUUUUGCAUGAGCCGUCACAUCUCCUGCAUGCUCUUUCCCCUUUCUCUCUAACCCCAGAGGCCCCACCCCUGCCAAACCGGUGGAUCCGUGUGUUCCCCCAGCCAACUGCUGCCAUUUACUGAGGCCUGCUGCGUAUUCAGCACAUGGAUGACGCCAAAUCACAGUUUACUAAGAGGAACGUCUUGCCGUUUCCUGAAUGCGUCUCAUGCACACUGGCCUCUGCUCAUGCCCUUUCCUCUGCCUGGAACACUUUUUCCAUUGCUCUUUCGGGGAAUCUUCUUCAAGAUCCACCUCCUCUGAGAAGCCCGCCCUGACCCCUACGGUUGGACCCUGAGCUCUGGGUGUUGACCCAGAGCCCUGUGUGCUGGGUCCCUGGGAGUCGUGCCCUCUGGCCUGGAUGCUCGUUUGGGUCUUGACCCAGCCUGAUUCAUCUUCAUGAUCCCGUGGAACCUGGCACAGGAGGUGCCAGCCAAUCUCUAUUUGAUUUUUGCAAACCUUUUCUUGAUGUAUAAUUUACCUAUAGAAAAGCACAGCUAUCUUAAGUGCACACCUUGGUGGGCUUCUACAAGGUGAACACACCCAUGUGACCUCCACCCAAACUAAGAAAUCAGACCAGCACCCAGAGGCCCCUAGAGCCCCCGCCUCGCCACUGCCCCGCCCCCACUGACUUCUGCCUGUCUAUGUAGUUCUAUAAUACAUACAUCUGUAGAAUUACGUAGAAAUGAAAUUCUGCAGCGCGUG
rnacentral:lncRNA from 1 species